UGGGCUAUCGCCAAGCGGUAAGGCACCAGAUUUUGAUUCUGGCAUUCGCUGGUUCGAAUCCAGCUAGCCCAG
rfam:Butyrivibrio fibrisolvens 16/4 draft genome.